AGAGUUUGAUCCUGGCUCAGAUUGAACGCUGGCGGUAUGCUUUACACAUGCAAGUCGAACGGCAGCACGGGGCAACCUGGUGGCGAGUGGCGAACGGGUGAGUAACAUAUCGGAACAUAUCCGGAAGUGGGGGAUAACGUAGCGAAAGUUACGCUAAUACCGCAUAUGCCCUGAGGGGGAAAGGGGGGGAUCGCAAGACCUCUCGCUUUCGGAGUGGCCGAUAUCGGAUUAGCUAGAUGGUGAGGUAAAGGCUCACCAUGGCGACGAUCCGUAGCGGGUCUGAGAGGACGACCCGCCACACUGGAACUGAGACACGGUCCAGACUCCUACGGGAGGCAGCAGUGGGGAAUUUUGGACAAUGGGCGCAAGCCUGAUCCAGCCAUACCGCGUGAGUGAAGAAGGCCUUCGGGUUGUAAAGCUCUUUCAGCCGGAAAGAAAUCGCACUUUUUAAUACGGAGUGUGGAUGACGGUACCGGAAUAAGAAUCACCGGCUAACUACGUGCCAGCCGCCGCGGU
rnacentral:rRNA from 1 species